UUUGAGCUCUGGGGAGCUGAGCCCCCGGGUGCUGUCUGGGCGCGGGGAGGGACCCUGGGAGGGCGCAGGGGAAGGAGCCUGGUCCUCGGACUCCAGAGUUGGAGCUGAAGGUCAAACGGUGGUGGGAAUAGACGGGACAGACUCUUGCUUACCGUCUUAUUUUGGAAGAUUUUUUAAAUACUCUGGAUAAUCAAACUUCUCUAAAACUAUCAAGUUACAGGAACCAUCAGACCUUACAGUCCAGGCACUGGGGCUCAAGCCACCCCAGCUUCUGUCUCCUUUGGAUGAGAAGUCAUUGAUCCCCUGAGAAGCUGGCCAGUCUCCACUGGUCACUCUCUGGACAUUGGUUGAUCCUGGAAAAGGCCAAGGGUAUUUUGCACUGAACUCAUCAGCCUGGUGGACUUCAAGAAGCACGUCACAGUCUUGAAGGAGCACAGCAAGAAGGUGCUGGGGCUUGUGCUGCCUCUGGCAACUCUCUCAUUUGGAUGAGACUCAUCCUGCCCCCAAGAUGCUGGCCAGUCUCCACUGGUUAAGGUCUGGAAAAUGGCUGAUUCCUGAGAAGCCAAGGUAUCUGCAGCAUGGAACUCAUCAGCCUGGCAGUCUUGGGGAUGCCUGUCAGUGGCACAGUCCUGAAGGAGCACAGCAGGGACGCAGCCUGGAGACUAGUUCUGGGACGCUGUAAACCUCUGAUAUUGACCCUUCCCGAACUACACCUCUAAAUGUGACUUUUCCCCAUCUGCUUCCAUAGAUUUUUGGGGUGUUGUGGGCCUCUUUCUGGAUCCCUGGGUUGGAUGUGGGUACUCAGGUGACUGCUGGCGUGACUUGAUUUCGUGGUUCCUUACUAGCAGGGACAUCUUUGAUCCCUUCACAUUCAAGUUGUUCUCUGACCUCUGCACAUUGUGGUCCUAAUGUGAGGUCCACUGUUGCCACACUCUGGUAGGAGUCUGGUGAUGAGAGACCCUCACUCUCCUCCCUUGGUCACUCUUGUCCCAAGUGGCCAUUACUGAACUUGGGAUUGGCUCUAGGCUGCCUCCCUCAACCCCCAGGACAUUCCAUCUGCUCCAGAGCCUGCCCACCAAGGGGUAUGUUAAGGUUGGGAAUGGGCCUUCUUUCCUGUCCAGUAACAGGGGUCUAUGAGAUGCCGUGGUCAUCACCACAUGGGGUCCCUGCCUGGGCCUUCUGGGAGUCCUCAUUGGCAGGAAAGGGGGCUGGGAAGGAAGGCACCUGGGUGAGGUUGGAAUUGAUAUUUUAUUAUCAAGCUCUGCUCCAAAUGAUGUGGGGUUCUAUACCAGGGCUUAAUUAACUUGCCUUUGGAGCCCAUCCCUGAUACACAGAAGGCUAAGCUAGAAAAGAAAGACUGCAGAUGGGCUGAGGCUGGAACUUUUUUCAACUUGAAGAGAUUAGCAACUUCAGUAUUCUGAAGGUCUAGUGCCUCCUGGGUCUCACACAAACCCUUCUUGUAUGUGCUUCCUGCUCAUUUCCGUGAGCCGGCUGAGCACAGACAGCUACAGGCAGGCAGUUGUGUAACUCGCUGGUGGAGGAGACUCAUGUCCAGGCUCCUUGGGAGGGUGGACUGCCUGGGAAGGGAAAAGGCAUGUUGGUCACCAGCCUGGAGCAAUGACCAUCCAGGGGGAUCUGACUCUUUUGAAACUGCCAGAAUUUCCUGACGAAAUGGGCUCCCAGGAUGAUUUCUGUGUUAUCUGCAGGCAACUGUUUAAGGGCCUCAUUAUCUUUCCUUUUAACAAUGACCUUCAAGCCCGGGAGUCCCCAAAAUCCUGGGAGAUGUUGGGGGUUACUUUGCUGGUGGCUUCUUGCAAUUAUUUAUGCACAGAGGAUGAAUUACUGCUUCCUAGCAGCUUCUGCAAGAGGUGACAUUACAGGUUUUGUAUUGCCAUUGGCAUGAAGAAUCAUGACCUAUUCUAAGCCACAGGGCUAGAUACCCUACAGCAGCCACUCUGGGGUGGUCGUGAAGUUGGUGGGAAUGGAAAUGAGGGUUAGAAGUGGGGCUGGGUCUCAACCUGAGCCUUAUAUCCCAUCCAUGAUUGGGCUCCAGAAGGAGUUUAGUGUUGGGUUUGGGCCACAGGGGACUGAACCAUGGGCUGGGCCAGAGAGUGAUGUGAAGCUACUUCCACUUCAUGAAUUUGCCCAGGUAAGACAUUAAACAGUUGUCCCAACAGGGUGGAGGGAAGUUGUUCUGGGGAUCCAGAGACUAUGACGAAUCCAUUAGGGACUCACUGUGCAGAUUCAUAGAUCCCAAUGUCUUCUGUAAGUGGCCCCCCAAAAUCUCAGUACAAGGUAGCUCUAGCACCCAGCAGCUGCUCUGAUCUGUCUUUCAUGCUCCAGAAUGGUGGGCCACCCAUGAUAUCCUCUGUGUCAUCCAGCGACUUGAGCAUAUUCCCCAAAGAAUUUAGGUGAAUGUCUGACUCUUCUGCUGCUUCUCUCUCCUUUCAGCUGUACCCUCAUGUGGAUUAGAUGUCCAGUAGCUUCCGGUGGUCAGGGCUGAUGAAAGUUGGGCUACCAGCCUCUACCUGGUGGUUUCUAGUGUUGUCCCAGAAUGGGGCCCCUGGUGGGGGGCUUGGAAGUUCCCCUUUCCGGGACUCAGGAUGUGACCAUGCUGAGAGGCUCAUGGCUUUGGCCCCUCUGGAAUCCCACCAGGACAUGGACGUAAAAGGACGGGUUGAGCAUCCUAGGCCUGAGAUGGUUAAGAUGGGAGAAUGUGUCCAAGGGAUAUGGGGAGAAGAGUAUGGGGCAGUGCCCAUUGGCAGGGGCAGUGCCCAUUGGCAGUAACAAUGAGUCACACUGAGAAAGAGUCAGGCUGGAGCCUGGAGAUGGGAGGCCAUCAGACAUGGAGGCCAGGCCUCUAAACCAGGGGGUGCUGAGGGGCAAGGUGAAGAAGCAGGUGAAUGGGGGCAAAGGCUCUCCAGGGAAAGAGGAGUGUCUGAUGGCUCAGAGGCGGUCGGGUAUGACUCUGCACUAACAGAAAGUAAGGAAAACAUGGGUCCUGUUGAGUGGGUGGAGGCCAGAGGUAAGGAGUGCUUGGUUGGAGAAGCUGACAGGGACAUGGCAGGAGUAGCAACUUCCACGCACUUCCCUGGAGGCUGGUGGGCUCUGGCAGGUGCUACUUUCCACACAUUGCCCACGGGGUCAUGACCUAAGGGCUGAUGGCAGCUGACCUUUUUAGGGUGCAUCCUCAGGUGGCUGCACAAGAAAGGAGGUCCAAGCUAUGACCAAAAGCAGAGGGUUCCGGGAGUCCCAGGUAGUCCAGGCAGGUGGGCACCGGUAUCGCAGUCUCCUUCCAUUGCCUUUGGCUGACCUGGGCUAUCAGCCUCCACCUGUCGUUUUCUAGUGUCUACUCAGAAUGGUGCACCUGAUGGGGGGCUGGAAAGGGGCUGUCAAAGGGACCCAGGAUGUGACCAUGCUGAGAAGUUCAAGGCUUUGGCAAUCCUUGAAUCCCAGGCAGGCAGGGACUAAAAGGACAGGUUGGGCGUCAUAGGACUGCAAAUAUUGUUGGUUUCACUUCUUUUCUGAUUUGGAUUCCUUUUAUGUCUAUCCAUUGCUUAACUGACUGCGCUGACUUGGGCUGCCAAUACUUUGUUGAAUAUCACUGAAGAGAUCCUGACAUACCUGUCCUGUACUUAUUCUUAGGGGAAACCUUUUAGUAUUUUUAAAUUUACUUAUGCAUACAAGAUCUGGGGUGCAGGCCUACGGUGUGGUGGGUGAGAUGAUUCACAGGAGACAGAGUGGGGAGAAGAACAGGUAGAUCUACUAAAAUACACUGCUGAGCAAUCAAAAAAGAUAAACUCAGGCCAUUUGCAGCAACAUGGAUGGAGCUGGAAGGGAUCAUGCUCAGUGAAAUAAGCCAAAAAGAAAAAGAAAAAUGCCAGAUGGUCUCACAGCAGGAAUUUAGUAAACCCAAACAAGUGAUCCAUAAUAAGACUAAUUAUAAUAAAGUAAAAGUCAAAAUCAACAGGCAACUAUAAACCAGAGGCACAUUGUGGGGCGGGGGAGAAGGGAGUAGGAUCAAAAUAAAGAUGGUGGGCAUUUUACAGGAACUAUAACUAAGAUGAAGAUGCACACAU